GUCAGGAUGGACGAGCGGUCCAAGGCGCUGCGUUCAGGUCGCAGUCUCGUAAGAGGCGUGGGUUCAAAUCCCACUUCUGACA
rfam:Oryzias latipes DNA, scaffold7181, strain: Hd-rR.